GGAAGUAAAAGUCGUAACAAGAUUUCCGUAGGUGAACCUGCGGAAGGAUCAUUAACGAAGUUUUGUCUGAAAAGACAUUCUUUCAACUAAACACCUGUGAAUUAUUUACAUCAUUUUGCUUUGGUCAAAUUUAUUUGGCCAAAAGUUUAAAUUAAAACCUUUUAUUUUAACCUUGAUAGUCUGAAAUUGAAAAUAUUUUAAUUAUUUAAAACUUUCAACAAUGGAUCUCUUGGUUCUC
rnacentral:misc_RNA from 1 species